GGGAUUGUAGUUUAAUUGGUAGAGCGCAUGCUUUGCACGCAUGAAGUUGUCGGUUCAAGUCCGAUCAAUUCCA
rnacentral:tRNA from 1 species